GAUGAAGAACGUAGUGAAAUGCGAUAAGUAAUGCGAAUUGCAGAAUUCAGUGAGUCAUCGAAUCUUUGAACGCACAUUGCGCCCUGUGGUAUUCCGCAGGGCAUGCCUGUUCGAGCGUCAUUUCAACCCUCAAGCUCUGCUUGGUGUUGGGCCCUGCCCGCUGCGGCCGGCCCUAAAGACAGUGGCGGUGCCGCCUGGCCCUGAGCGUAGUACAUCUCUCGCUCCAGUGCCCGGUGGUAGCCUGCCAGAACCCCAACUCUCGUGGUUGACCUCGGAUCAGGUAGGGAUACCCGCUGAACUUAAGCAUAUCAAUAAGCGGAGG
rnacentral:misc_RNA from 1 species